UCAACUCCUAGUCCUCAAGCUUCACCAUCUGUUGCUCUCACUCCUGAUCAGAUGCAACAGUUCAUUGCUUACUUCAGCACUCAACUUCACAGUCACAGCGGUACACCAUCUACUCCUGCACAAGAAGGUCUUCCUGCCUCCACUUUAGCUGUAUCAUCCGCUUCUAAAGCGUCUGGUACUUUCCUCACUCUAUACUCUUUUUAUGGCAUGCCUUUUGUGCUCUCUUCUGGAAAUGUUAUGGUUUCUUCUGAUUCAUGGAUAAUAGACUCAGGGGCAACACACCAUGUAUGUCAUUCCUCUUCCUUAUUUUCCCACCUAUCCCCUUUCACUGAUACCUUUGUCACCUUACCUUCGGGCAAAUCAGAAAGCAUUGUCGGUAUAGGUUCAAUUACACUUAGUGAGAAGAUAGUCUUGAAAAAUGUGUUAUGUGUUCCCUCUUUUCAUUUCAAUCUGUUGAGUGUUAGUUCAUUAACUGAUGAUACGGAUUCCAUGAUUAGUUUCACAUCUCAUUCUUGUUUAAUACAGGAUCUUACUCGGGAAUUGAUGAUUGGCAAGGGUAGACGCAUUUCAAAG
rnacentral:lncRNA from 1 species